rnacentral:rRNA from 1 species
GAGUUUGACUCCUGGCUACAGAACGACGCUGGCGGCAGGCUUAACACAUGCAAGUCGAACGCCCUAGCAAUAGGGAGUGGCAGACGGGUGAGUAACGCGUGGGAAUCUACCCAGAUCUACGGAACAACAGUUGGAAACGACUGCUAAUACCGUAUACGCCCUACGGGGGAAAGAUUUAUCGGAUUUGGAUGAGCCCGCGUAAGAUUAGCUAGUUGGUGAGGUAAUGGCUCACCAAGGCGACGAUCUUUAGCUGGUCUGAGAGGGUGAUCAGCCACACUGGGACUGAGACACGGCCCAGACUCCUACGGGAGGCAGCAGUGGGGAAUAUUGGACAAUGGGCGCAAGCCUGAUCCAGCCAUGCCGCGUGAGUGAUGAAGGCCUUAGGGUUGUAAAGCUCUUUCACCGAUGAAGAUAAUGACGGUAGUCGGAGAAGAAGCCCCGGCUAACUUCGUG